AUAAAUAACUUAUAUAUUGUGAAACUGCGAAUGGCUCAUUAAAUCAGUUAUGAUCUACGUGACAAAUUCUUUACUACUUGGAUAACCGUGGUAAUUCUAGAGCUAAUACAUGCAAAAAAGCCCUGACUUACGAAGGGGUGCACUUAUUAGAUAAAACCAACGCGGGGUAAAACCUGUUUCUUGGUGAAUCAUAAUAAUUAAGCGGAUCGCAUGGCCUUGUGCCGGCGACGGUCCACUCGAUUUUCUGCCCUAUCAUGGUUGAGAUUGUAAGAUAGAGGCUUACAAUGCCUACAACGGGUAACGGGGAAUUAGGGUUCGAUUCCGGAGAGGGAGCCUGAGAAACGGCUACCACAUCCAAGGAAGGCAGCAGGCGCGCAAAUUACCCAAUCCCGACACGGGGAGGUAGUGACAAUACAUAACAAUGCAGGGCCUUUAAGGUCUUGCAAUUGGAAUGAGUACAAUUUAAAUCCCUUAACGAGGAUCAAUUGGAGGGCAAGUCUGGUGCCAGCAGCCGCGGUAAUUCCAGCUCCAAUAGCGUAUAUUAAAGUUGUUGCAGUUAAAACGUCCGUAGUCAAACUUUAGUCUUACCGGCGUAGUGGCCUGGUCUUCAUUGACCAAGCUCAUUGCUGCCGGAGACUCCAUGUCCAUUGACUCCUAGUCCUCGUGGCUAGGGUUUUCUGGACAAUUACCAUGAGCAAAUCAGAGUGUUUAAAGCAGGCUUUUAAGCUUGAAUGUGUUAGCAUGGAAUAAUGAAAUAUGACUUUAGUCCUAUUUUCGUUGGUUUAGGUACUUCAGUAAUGAUGAAUAGAAACGGUUAGGGGCAUUUGUAUUUGGUCGCUAGAGGUGAAAUUCUUGGAUUGACCGAAGACAAACUACUGCGAAAGCAUUUGACCCGGGACGUUUUCAUUGAUCAAGGUCUAAAGUUAAGGGAUCGAAGACGAUUAGAUACCGUCGUAGUCUUAACCACAAACUAUGCCGACUAGAGAUUGGGCGUGUUUAUUAUGACUCGCUCAGCAUCUUAGCGAAAGUAAAGUUUUUGGGUUCUGGGGGGAGUAUGGGACGCAAGGCUGAAACUUAAAGGAAUUGACGGAAGGGCACCACCAGGAGUGGAGCCUGCGGCUUAAUUUGACUCAACACGGGGAAACUCACCAGGUCCAGACAUAGUAAGGAUUGACAGAUUGAAAGCUCUUUCUAGAUUCUAUGGGUGGUGGUGCAUGGCCGUUCUUAGUUCGUGGAGUGAUUUGUCUGGUUAAUUCCGAUAACGAACGAGACCUUAUUCUGCUAAUUAGACAGGCUAACUCUUUCGGGUUGGUUUAUAUUUAAUAUUUAACAGGCUUCACAGCUGGAUUACCGUGUAGUACAUAUGCUUU
rnacentral:rRNA from 1 species